rnacentral:rRNA from 1 species
AUGCGAGUCGAAUGGAACAGCUUGUUCCAUGGCGAACUGCUCAGUAACAAGUAAUCAACUUACCCUUCAGUGGAGAAUAACCUCGGGAAACUGAGGCUAAUACUUCAUAGUUGGAAAUUCCUGGAAUGGUUUUCCAUCGAAAGAUAUUUCUAAAUGCGGAAAAUCGCUGAAGGAUAGGAUCGCUUUCGAUUACGGUUGUUGGUGAGGUAAUGGCUCACCAAGCCUAUGAUCGAUAAGGGCCGUGAGAGCGGUAGCCCUGAGAUGGAUACUGAGACAAUGAUCCAGGCCUUACGAGGCGCAGCAGGCGCGAAACCUUUACAAUGCACGCAAGUGUGAUAAGGUUACCCGGAGUGCCAAAAUUAAAUUGCUGUUAUAGGUGUGUAAAUCCCUAUGAGAAAGGAGAGGGCAAGGCUGGUGCCAGCCGCCGCGGUAAAACCAGCUCUUCAAGUGGUCGGGAAUAUUAUUGGGCUUAAAGUGUCCGUAGCCGGUUUGGUAAGUUCCUGGUUAAAUCUGGCAGCUUAACUGUCAGUCAGCUAGGAAUACUACUUUACUAGAGGGUGGGAAAGGUUUGAGGUACUCCAGGGGUAGCGGUGAAAUGCGAUAAUCCUUGGGGGACCACCAGUGGCGAAGGCGUCAGACUGGAACACGCCUGACGGUGAGGGACGAAAGCCAGGGGAGCGAACGGGAUUAGAUACCCCGGUAGUCCUGGCCGUAAACGAUGCGUGCUAGGUGUAGGUAGGGCUUUGAGCUGUAUCAGUGCCGUAGGGAAACUGUUAAGCGCGCCGCCUGGGAAGUACGCUCGCAAGGGUGAAACUUAAAGGAAUUGGCGGGGAAGCACCACAAGGGGUGAAGCCUGCGGUUCAAUUGGAUUCAACGCCGGAA